CCAGCUUGCUUGGUGGAUCAGUGGCGAACGGGUGAGUAACACGUGAGCAACCUGCCCUGGACUCUGGGAUAAGCGCUGGAAACGGCGUCUAAUACUGGAUAUGAGACGUGAUCGCAUGGUCGUGUUUGGAAAGAUUUUUUGGUCUGGGAUGGGCUCGCGGCCUAUCAGCUUGUUGGUGAGGUAAUGGCUCACCAAGGCGUCGACGGGUAGCCGGCCUGAGAGGGUGACCGGCCACACUGGGACUGAGACACGGCCCAGACUCCUACGGGAGGCAGCAGUGGGGAAUAUUGCACAAUGGGCGGAAGCCUGAUGCAGCAACGCCGCGUGAGGGAUGACGGCCUUCGGGUUGUAAACCUCUUUUAGCAGGGAAGAAGCGUAAGUGACGGUACCUGCAGAAAAAGCGCCGGCUAACUACGUGCCAGCAGCCGCGGUAAUACGUAGGGCGCAAGCGUUAUCCGGAAUUAUUGGGCGUAAAGAGCUCGUAGGCGGUUUGUCGCGUCUGCUGUGAAAUCCCGAGGCUCAACCUCGGGCCUGCAGUGGGUACGGGCAGACUAGAGUGCGGUAGGGGAGAUUGGAAUUCCUGGUGUAGCGGUGGAAUGCGCAGAUAUCAGGAGGAACACCGAUGGCGAANGCAGAUCUCUGGGCCGUAACUGACGCUGANGAGCGAAAGGGUGGGGAGCAAACAGGCUUAGAUACCCUGGUAGUCCACCCCGUAAACGUUGGGAACUAGUUGUGGGGACCAUUCCACGGUUUCCGUGACGCAGCUAACGCAUUAAGUUCCCCGCCUGGGGAGUACGGCCGCAAGGCUAAAACUCAAAGGAAUUGACGGGGACCCGCACAAGCGGCGGAGCAUGCGGAUUAAUUCGAUGCAACGCGAAGAACCUUACCAAGGCUUGACAUAUACGAGAACGGGCCAGAAAUGGUCAACUCUUUGGACACUCGUAAACAGGUGGUGCAUGGUUGUCGUCAGCUCGUGUCGUGAGAUGUUGGGUUAAGUCCCGCAACGAGCGCAACCCUCGUUCUAUGUUGCCAGCACGUAAUGGUGGGAACUCAUGGGAUACUGCCGGGGUCAACUCGGAGGAAGGUGGGGAUGACGUCAAAUCAUCAUGCCCCUUAUGUCUUGGGCUUCACGCAUGCUACAAUGGCCGGUACAAAGGGCUGCAAUACCGUGAGGUGGAGCGAAUCCCAAAAAGCCGGUCCCAGUUCGGAUUGAGGUCUGCAACUCGACCUCAUGAAGUCGGAGUCGCUAGUAAUCGCAGAUCAGCAACGCUGCGGUGAAUACGUUCCCGGGUCUUGUACACACCGCCCGUCAAGUCAUGAAAGUCGGUAACACC
rnacentral:rRNA from 1 species